UGGAGGGGUAACAGUGCGAAGAGGUUCUCAUGUCUAAGUACAAGCCGCUAGUCGGCGAAACCGCGAAUGGCUCAAUAAAUCAGUUAUGGUUCCUUAGAUCCACUCCAUCCUACUUGGAUAACUGUGGUAAUUCUAGAGCUAAUACAUGCACUCGAGCCCCGACGGCCUACUUCUUUUAACGACGAGCGGGCAGAGGGGGUGCUUUUAUUAUAUCAAAACCACUCGAGACGCCCUCAAAAAGCAGACCGUACCUUUUUGGUGACUCUGGAUAACUUCACGCAUAUCGCGUGGCCCUCGAGCCGGACACGCAUCUCUCAUGUGUCUGCCAUAUCAUGUGUCUAUGGUAUGUUACGCGCCUACCGUGGUUGCCACGGGUAACGGAGAAUCGGGGUUCUAUUCCAGAGAGGGAGCCAGAAAAACGGCUACCACAUCCAGAGAGCGCAGCGCGCGCGCAAAUUACCCACUCCCGGCACGGGGAUGUAGUGACAAAAAAUAACUAUACGGGACUCUUCAGACGCCCCGUGAUUGGAAUGAAUACUCUUUAUAUCUUUUAAAGAAGAACCUUUGGAGGGCAUCUCUGGUGCCCACACCCGCGGUAACUCCAUCUCCAAUAGCAUAUAUUAAAUUUGGUGCUGUUAAAAAUCUCAUACUCAGAUGUCUGUCUUCGGGCGGGCGGCCCCCUCUCUGAAUCAGGGGGUGUGCGUUCUUUUUCUCUUCUGGAGAAACGGGUGUAAAACCCAGACUCUUUUCAGGGUCAGAACAAUCCUCCCCAGAAGUUGGUUCUCGGUGGCCCCUCGGGGUCAAAGUUUUUUGUCGGGUUUUUAGAGUCGGGAGAAGCUUCGGGGGGUCUCUCUCCACCCCGUACAAAUUCGCUGCGGGGGGUGCCUUUUUCCCCGGGGUUGUUCCUCGGGGCCGCCCGGACAACUUUUUAUUUUAGAACAAUUUUAGAGGUGCUCAAAAAGGCGAGGGUUUUUCCCCAACCCCCCAUAAUAUCCACCACUGUGGAAAGAUUGUUGGUAAUUAGGACCCCCCGCCCCGUAUUUUUGGGGGGGCUCUUUUUUUUCUUUUUGGCAACCCCGGGUGGAUUAGUUGUUAUAUAAGAACCACAAGAACGGGGGGGUUUAUUUUAUUAGCUGGCCGCCGAACAAGAAGGUUGAAAUUUUUU
rnacentral:rRNA from 1 species